AUGCCUCUUCAGUCUAUUGCUCAACGGCCUAUGGCUUCUAGAGUAGAGAGAAUUCCUAGAGCCUUUCCAGACCAGAUAAAGUCCUUCUAUCCAAAGUGUGCCAAUCAAUCCGGAAGUUGGCUUCCACCGCUACCUGUUCUGUACGAGAUGGAUCUGCGUACUGUGACUCAAACCAUUCUGGACUGACCUGGUUUUUCGCCGGUCCCUUGUACUUGAGUAAAUUGGUGCUAUCUUUUGCGAUGUAG